rfam:Triticum aestivum genome assembly, contig: Triticum_aestivum_CS42_TGACv1_scaffold_500168_6BL
GAUAUACUUUCCUGGUCCGAAAAUACUUGUCAUCAAAAUGAACAAAAAUGGAUGUAUUUAAAACUAAAAUACAUCUAGAUACAAUUUUUUAUUCAUUUUAGUGAUAAGUAUUUCCAGACGAAGAAAGUAGUAC